UUCUAUAAGUUUUUUUUUUUAUGAAUUUUAUAUUUUUCGAUCGUUUUAACUUUAUCUAGCUAAUUCGGGGGUUAAUUUAUAAAAUUGUUAAAUAUUUUGGAAGAUGUCAUUGAUGUGUUUAGUGUGUUCUUGAAGUUUAAUGGUGAAUUACCAUGCUUGGAUGUUAAAUAGAAAUAUUAUGUUAAGCAAUUUUGUAUGAUUUUAAGUUUAGGGAUUUAAUUGAAAAUAAAUUAAAUUAAGCAAGGUUUUCUUGUAAAAUUUCAGCAUGUGUGAAUCGAUUUAGUAUAGUUAAAAAUUCGGUUUUAUGGGAAUAGGUUUAAUUUUGAAAAAUAAUCUUGUUUCGAGUUUAGGGAUUAAAUCGAAUAAAGUGUAAAAGUUUGAGAAAAAUAUGUAAAUUUGUAAAUAAGAAGUCAUAUGUUUUAAAUUGAAUAGUAUAUGAAAUUGAGGUUAAUAAAUUGAAAUAAAUUAUUUUAUAGAUCAAGAAUAAGUAGAUAACCGUGAAAAAAAAGGAAAGUUGUUGAGUAGUCCCUGAACCUUUACUGUCUCUGCAGUUUAGCCCAGGUAAGUUCAUAUUGUUUAAAUUAGAAUAAAUGGUAAUAUUAUGUUGGCUUGUGAGUUAUGAUUUUUUGAAUAUUCGUAUUUAUAUAUUUAUAUAAUGCUAUAAUCAUAAAGUUAAUUCAAGGUGAGAAAGGUAAUUGAUUUGUAAAAUAUUAUGUGAUUACUAGUAUCAAGCUCGAAUGAACAUAGGGUAGGAUACAAUUGGCAUGCCAAUAGGUUAUAUUGCACGCUGUACAGGUCUGACUUGUGAUGAGAUGAUGAUUCUUAAUUUAUUCCUGUCCACUAAUUAUACAAGAGUCUAGCAUUUGUUGUAAACUAUCGUGUUAAUUUACAGUGUUUCUGGCGUGUUAUCGAGGGUGAAUGUAAAGCCUUUGGGCUUGAAACUUGGUGCUGAGGUGUGUUCUGGAGGGAUGUUAGCCUACAGGCUAGGCUCUUAGUGCCAAGGCGUGUUCUCGGUUGGUUUGGCUCAUUGGAGCAUUUUGGUGUGUUUCGGUGGAUAACUGUGUAUCCAUAUAUGUUAUAUCGUUCAUCGGACAUAUUUAAAUUGGUUAAAUGACUUGUGUAUUGAAUUGUAAAAAUAUUUGCUUGAUUUCUAAUAGUAUAUCAUGACUUGAUAUUGAUUGAGUUCAUAUGAAUUAAUUGAUUAUACAACAUGUAUAUCUGUAUAACUCACCAUUAAUUGAUUGUGGUUGGCAGGACUAACGUCUAUUAACAGUGUUAUUAAAUGAUUUAUUAUGUUUAUUCGAUAACAUUUUGCGGAUUCGGGCGGUUGGAUCAACGCGAAUAUCACACUAUCCAGAUUCGUUUUGGUAGAUUUUUAAACAAGUUUAAUUUUGAGAUGUGGCAUGUAAUAGGAGUAUCUUGUAAAUGUUUUAAGUACUUAUUACAAAUGGUAUUUUCUCUACUUGUGUGAUAAAUAUAUGUUUUAGUUAAUAAUGAGCUAAUUCAUGGUUUGGUAUGAAA